rnacentral:rRNA from 1 species
UACGUAGGGGGCUAGCGUUGUCCGGAAUCAUUGGGCGGAAAGCGCGUGUAGGCGGUCCGGUAAGUCCGCUGUGAAAGUCGGGGGCUCAACCCUCGAAUGCCGGUGGAUACUGUCGGGCUAGAGUGCGGAAGAGGCGAGUGGAAUUCCUGGUGUAACGGUGAAAUGCGCAGAUAUCAGGAGGAACACCAAUUGCGAAGGCAGCUCGCUGGGACGUUACUGACGCUGAGACGCGAAAGCGUGGGGAGCAAACAGG